rnacentral:rRNA from 1 species
GGACUGCCUUUUGCAUAAUGAGCCUGCGAGUUGUGGUGUCUGGCAAGGUUAAGCAAACGCGAAGCCGUAGCGAAAGCGAGUCUGAAUAGGGCGCUUAGUCAGAUGCUGCAGACCCGAAACGAAGUGAUCUAUCCAUGAGCAAGUUGAAGCUAGUGUAAGAACUAGUGGAGGACUGAACCCAUAGGCGUUGAAAAGCCCCGGGAUGACUUGUGGAUAGGGGUGAAAGGCCAAUCAAACUUCGUGAUAGCUGGUUCUCUCCGAAAUAUAUUUAGGUAUAGCGUUGUGUCGUAAUAUAAGGGGGUAGAGCACUGAAUGGGCUAGGGCAUACACCAAUGUACCAAACCCUAUCAAACUCCGAAUACCUUAUAUGUAAUCACAGCAGUCAGGCGGCGAGUGAUAAAAUCCGUCGUCAAGAGGGAAACAACCCAGACUACCAGCUAAGGUCCCUAAAUCUUACUUAAGUGGAAAACGAUGUGAAGUUACUUAAACAACCAGGAGGUUGGCUUAGAAGCAGCCAUCCUUUAAAGAAAGCGUAAUAGCUCACUGGUCUAGUGAUUUUGCGCGGAAAAUAUAACGGGGCUAAAGUAAGUACCGAAGCUGUAGACUUGCACACAACUUAGAUUAUUUAAGUUUAGAAUAUGAGAAACUAAGUUAUAUGUUUAGUUAUAUUUUUACUGAUUUUUAUAGAGUAAAGAUAGAAAUAAAACUUAGUAAAAUCAGUAAAAAUAUUCUUAGACUAAAGUUAAGUAGUUUAAGUUGUGUGCAAGUGGUAGGAGAGCGUUCUAUUUGCGUCGAAGGUAUACCGGUAAGGAGUGCUGGAGCGAAUAGAAGUGAGCAUGCAGGCAUGAGUAGCGAUAAUUAAUGUGAGAAUCAUUAACGCCGUAAACCCAAGGUUUCCUACGCGAUGCUCGUCAUCGUAGGGUUAGUCGGGUCCUAAGUCGAGUCCGAAAGGGGUAGACGAUGGCAAAUUGGUUAAUAUUCCAAUACCAACAUUAGUGUGCGAUGGAAGGACGCUUAGGGCUAAGGGGGCUAGCGGAUGGAAGUGCUAGUCUAAGGUCGUAGGAGGUUAUACAGGCAAAUCCGUAUAACAAUACUCCGAGAACUGAAAGGCUUUUUGAAGUCUUCGGAUGGAUAGAAGAACCCCUGAUGCCGUCGAGCCAAGAAAAGUUUCUAAGUUUAGCUAAUGUUGCCCGUACCGUAAACCGACACAGGUGGGUGGGAUGAGUAUUCUAAGGCGCGUGGAAGAACUCUCUUUAAGGAACUCUGCAAAAUAGCACCGUAUCUUCGGUAUAAGGUGUGGUUAGCUUUGUAUUAGGAUUUACUCCGAAAGCAAGGAAACUUACAACAAAGAGUCCCUCCCGACUGUUUACCAAAAACACAGCACUCUGCUAACUCGUAAGAGGAUGUAUAGGGUGUGACGCCUGCCCGGUGCUCGAAGGUUAAUUGAUGGGGUUAGCAUUAGCGAAGCUCUUGAUCGAAGCCCGAGUAAACGGCGGCCGUAACUAUAACGGUCCUAAGGUAGCGAAAUUCCUUGUCGGUUAAAUACCGACCUGCAUGAAUGGCGUAACGAGAUGGGAGCUGUCUCAAAGAGGGAUCCAGUGAAAUUGUAGUGGAGGUGAAAAUUCCUCCUACCCGCGGCAAGACGGAAAGACCCCGUGGACCUUUACUACAGCUUGACACUGCUACUUGGAUAAGAAUGUGCAGGAUAGGUGGGAGGCUUUGAGUAUAUGACGCCAGUUGUAUAUGAGCCAUUGUUGAGAUACCACUCUUUCUUAUUUGGGUAGCUAACCAGCUUGAGUUAUCCUCAAGUGGGACAAUGUCUGGUGGGUAGUUUGACUGGGGCGGUCGCCUCCCAAAUAAUAACGGAGGCUUACAAAGGUUGGCUCAGAACGGUUGGAAAUCGUUCGUAGAGUAUAAAGGUAUAAGCCAGCUUAACUGCAAGACAUACAAGUCAAGCAGAGACGAAAGUCGGUCUUAGUGAUCCGGUGGUUCUGUGUGGAAGGGCCAUCGCUCAAAGGAUAAAAGGUACCCCGGGGAUAACAGGCUGAUCUCCCCCAAGAGCUCACAUCGACGGGGAGGUUUGGCACCUCGAUGUCGGCUCAUCGCAUCCUGGGGCUGGAGCAGGUCCCAAGGGUAUGGCUGUUCGCCAUUUAAAGCGGUACGCGAGCUGGGUUCAGAACGUCGUGAGACAGUUCGGUCCCUAUCUGCCGUGGGCGUAAGAAGAUUGAAGAGAUUUGACCCUAGUACGAGAGGACCGGGUUGAACAAACCACUGGUGUAGCUGUUGUUCUGCCAAGAGCAUCGCAGCGUAGCUAAGUUUGGAAAGGAUAAACGCUGAAAGCAUCUAAGCGUGAAGCCAACUCUAAGAUGAAUCUUCUCUAAGCUCUCUAGAAGACUACUAGUUUGAUAGGCUGGGUGUGUAAUGGAUGAAAGUCCUUUAGCUGACCAGUACUAAUAGAGCGUUUGGCUUAUCUUUAAUAAAGCAU